UACGUAGGGAGCAAGCGUUGUCCGGAAUCAUUGGGCGUAAAGCGCGCGUAGGUGGCCCCGUAAGUCCGCUGUGAAAGUCAAAGGCUCAACCUUUGAAAGCCGGUGGAUACUGUGGGACUAGAGUACGGAAGAGGCGAGUGGAAUUCCUGGUGUAGCGGUGGAAUGCGCAGAUAUCAGGAGGAACACCAAUAGCGAGGGCAGCUCGCUGGGACGUUACUGACGCUGAGACGCGAAAGCGUGGGGAGCAAACAGG
rnacentral:rRNA from 1 species